GUAGGUGACCUGCGGAGGUCAUUACCUAGAGUUUGCAGACUUCAGGUCUGCUACCUCUUACCCAUGUCUUUUGAGUACCUUCGUUUCCUCGGCGGGUCCGCCCGCCGAUUGGACAACAUUCAAACCCUUUGCAGUUGCAAUCAGCGUCUGAAAAAACAUAAUAGUUACAACUUUCAACAACGGAUCUCUUGGUUCUGGCAUCGAUGAAGAACGCAGCGAAAUGCGAUAAGUAGUGUGAAUUGCAGAAUUCAGUGAAUCAUCGAAUCUUUGAACGCACAUUGCGCCCCUUGGUAUUCCAUGGGGCAUGCCUGUUCGAGCGUCAUUUGUACCUUCAAGCUCUGCUUGGUGUUGGGUGUUUUGUCUCGCCUCCGCGUGUAGACUCGCCUUAAAACAAUUGGCAGCCGGCGUAUUGAUUUCGGAGCGCAGUACAUCUCGCGCUUUGCACUCAUAACGACGACGUCCAAAAGUACAUUUUUACACUCUUGACCUCGGAUCAGGUAGGGAUACCCGCUGAACUUAAGCAUAUCAAAAGCCGGAGAAAAA
rnacentral:rRNA from 1 species